CACGGAGUUAGCCGGAGCUUAUUCUCCCGGUACUGUCAUUAUCAUCCCGGGUAAAAGAGCUUUACAACCCUAAGGCCUUCAUCACUCACGCGGCAUUGCUGGAUCAGGCUUUCGCCCAUUGUCCAAUAUUCCCUACUGCUGCCUCCCGUAGGAGUCUGGGCCGUGUCUCAGUCCCAGUGUGGCUGAUCAUCCUCUCAGACCAGCUAAGGAUCGUCGCCUUGGUGAGCCUUUACCUCACCAACUAGCUAAUCCUACGCGGGCUCAUCCUUGGGCGAUAAAUCUUUGGACUUACGUCAUCAUCCGGUAUUAGCUUCCGUUUCCAGAAGUUAUUCCGAACCCAAGGGCAGAUUCCCACGCGUUACGCACCCGUGCGCCACUAGAUCCGAAGAUCUCGUUCGACUUGCAUGUAUUAGGCAUGCCGCCAGCGUUCGUUCUGAGCCAGGAUCAAACUCU
rnacentral:rRNA from 1 species